rnacentral:rRNA from 2 species
UGGAGCAUGUGGUUUAAUUCGAAGCAACGCGAAGAACCUUACCAGGGCUUGACAUCCCUCUGACAGUCCCUUAACCGGGACCUUCUUCGGACAGAGGAGACAGGUGGUGCAUGGUUGUCGUCAGCUCGUGUCGUGAGAUGUUGGGUUAAGUCCCGCAACGAGCGCAACCCUUGCCUUUAGUUGCCAUCAUUCAGUUGGGCACUCUAGAGAGACUGCCGAGGACAACUCGGAGGAAGGUGGGGAUGACGUCAAAUCAUCAUGCCCCUUAUGUCCUGGGCUACACACGUGCUACAAUGGCUGGUACAAAGAGACGCAAGACCGCGAGGUGGAGCAAAUCUCAAAAACCAGUCCCAGUUCGGAUUGCAGGCUGCAACUCGCCUGCAUGAAGUCGGAGUUGCUAGUAAUCGCAGAUCAGAAUGCUGCGGUGAAUGCGUUCCCGGGUCUU